CUUUUUUUAUGUUAUGAAUCUAUGAUGAAGAUGAGGGGCAAAAAAGGUACUUCGAGAUGCUUACAUGGAAUUCGAGUAGGCUUUGUUUAAAAAUAUUGUGAUAGUGUUGACCUCUUUUUGAUUAAAGAUAAUAUCAAAUAAAUUUGAUAAUGUUUGAGGUUUAGCUUUCAAUUCCAAAGAAAAGAUGAACUUUGCUUUGAAGUUUUAUAGAAUAUUAGUACUAAUCCAGUUAACAAAGAUUCGUAUUUUGUUCUAAACUUGUUUUUAAUAUUGAGGAAUGACAGAGAGAUGGUUGUGGAGCACCCAUUCGUAAUCUAAAGGAGCCACAUAGCUUCUCCAACCACUGAUUAAACUAUUGCUUAGCGGUUUUGCUUUAAUUGAUUAGUGCAAUUAUACAAAGUUGACAGAAGAUGGUGAUUUGGUGAAUGUGAAAAAGAGGGUUACAAAGAGAGGAAGUGGUGAAAAGUAAAGACACAAGAGGGACGUGUGGGAAGUGUGGCGACAAUUAGGUAGCAACAAGUUCCACUCGCGCUCUCUUCUCCACAACACAUUCCCUUUUAUUUGUUCUUCAAGCAUAUAAGAAAAACACAAACAUUUAUUAUGGGACCAUUUCAAUAAUGUAUAUUCAAUAUUCUUUUCCUCGAUUUCACAACAACUUAAUUACUUUAUAAGUAGAACAAAUUAACAACACGCCGUUCUUGACUUUAAGUAACAAUAAAAAAAGAGAUUAGUCAAAGUAAAAGUAUGUAUGCAUUUCAACGUUAUUCCACGUAAUUUUGUACGGUGACCUUUACAAACCUUGAGAAAUUAUAAUAAUAUAUAUCAUCUAAAAUUUACUUUAAAUCCUAAAGGAUCAUAGUCAUAGAUGCAUCUAUAAGAGUUGAAUAAUUGUUCUAAAAAAAGGGUUGAAUAAUCACAGUGUUCUUUAAAUAUUAGUAUAUGAUCAUAGUCAUAGAUGUUUUUAUUUUUUCUACAAUUAAUGCAUGAAUGAGGCAUCUACCAGAGUGCAUACAACCCAUGAUCGUGAUCAUACGGCUGAAUCAUUAGAGCAAGUAUAUAGUUUAAAAGUUUAUACUAACUAAUUUUUAUAAUUUUUAUUUUUAUAGUAUUUAGUUGGUUUUUGUUCCUAAUUAUGUGGAAUUAUAAGUACUAGAGAUUUUAUCCGGGCUACGCCCGGAUCUAUAUAAAAAGCAUUAUAUUAUAUAUAUUUACAUUAUAAUAUAUUACAUAUAUGUUAUAAAAAAUAUAAAUAAUAAAUUAAAUUAAAAUGAGUAAAUUCACAAUUUAUUGUUUUCUCCUAAGUGGAAUAGUGAACAAUGUAAAAUGAAUAAAUAAUUUAUUAAACCUAAGCUAUUCUCAAAAAUAUUUUGCGUACAUAUUUAUUUUAUUAUGAAAAUAUACCAUUUAUCUCAACAUCGCGUAUUGUUCUCGUUAUAUGUGUUAUUAUAUCAUGUGUAUGUUUUUAUUUAUCUCUUAUUUAAUCUUUUAUAAUCUAUUUUUACGAUUAUAAUCUAUUUUUUACAAUUAUAAUUAGUAAAGCUAAUUUAAUUACCUAUUUCUUUAAUUAAAAAAACUUUUAAAAAUGUUUUAUGUGUUAAAUACACUGAAAAUUCUAUGAAGAUAUUAUUAUUUAUUUUAUUAUUUGUUUUUUAUAAACAAAAAGACAAAUCUUACAGUCCAGCUAUAGUUAAAAUAUUAACUCGGCGUAAAAAGAUAAUCUAAAUAUUCUGAAUAGAUAUUCACAAUUUAUUUAACUUUUAUUAUUAAAUAUUAGUUGGUUUUACAAUUAGUAUUUAAAAAAACAAAAUCAGGUUAUUACACUGUUAUAAAAAUAAAAUUUUAUAUACCAAUUGGGGGAAUUUUGCAUAUACUUCCAAUAACAUUAUCUUCAUACUAUUUUUUUGUUUACAGUAAAAACAAACCAAAGCUUAAGUCGAUUUCUUCAUUCGAGUAACCUAACUUUCUGGGGGAAUAAUAUCCUUUAGUGAGUCUUGGAUCGAUUGGGAUCCUAUGUGGCUCUAUAUCCUUAUGAUGUCCCUCGAACAUGCACGCUCUCCAACAUUACGUACCUUUCUGAGUUUUCAAUUCGACUUGAUCCUUUGAGAUUAUAUUUUCCCCUUUCUUUAGUUUUAGUGAUCUUUCAAGGAAACAUUUGUGUACUUUUAUCCCCACCUUGUUGAAAAACGCAUAUUAGUAGGUAUGUUUUCACGUACUAUCAAGCGGAGGAAGUUUGCAAGUUAUCAAGGUAACUAUUGCCAGACAUGGCCUAAACAUAUUUUCUUCACUAAUUGUCCUUUCAUAUCUCUUUUCAUUUAGUGAUAGAUAGAUUGCUAAAUAAUCAGUAGGUCCAUAUUACAAUCUUUUUUUUUUUAACACAACUCCAUAUUACAAUCUAAAUUUGAUAUUCUGUGUCAGAUGUCUAAAUCCCAAUGUUUAUUUCCUAAUCUUGGGCAGGUCUGGCAAUCAUAUCGGACUGAACGGGAAGCCCUUUAGCCGACGAAGAAACAAAGAGUUAUCAAAGAUAAGUUUACAAUUGUAAAAGCUGCCACAUGCAUCACAUGGUCUGUAAAAAAUAAUAUUUUUGGCUUAGGACAUAAUAGGAUUUUAUCCCAGGAAGAAAUACAGGUAAUUCUAUUUUCAAAAAGGUUUAUUACUUCCUUCAUUAUCCACUUCAAAAUUGUAAUUCUAUUUUAUAAAAUCAAGAAUGUGUU